GAAGCUCAUUCUUUGCCUUGCCGCCCUCACGGUACAACCCCCACGCACAGGCCUGCCAGCUCAUGCUGGCGAUGCUUCCAAGAGGGAAACGGCAGGCAAAACUAGUCUAUAUGUUCGAUGGGGUAGGUAAGUGGUGGUCCAUGCAGGGGACAGUGACCCGAAGUUCUUGGCCAAGAGGUCAGGCUGCCUUGGUUCCUCCGGCUCUCCCGGGAGUUUGGGGGCUUAUACUGACCAGUCUUCCAAUGUCUUUACAGAUGAGGACUGAAUGAUCAGGUGCAGGCAUCACUGGCAGCAGCGUAAGCCAACAUCCGAAGGCCUCGUCCCAGAAAACAGGGAGGAUUCAUUUCAAGCUCUAAGACCGACUGAAGCCUGGCACUCCCUGACAAAUGCAUUCCAGCUGGUUUCAAUCCACACGAGACACCAGUGUGUGUGUGUGUGUGUGUGUUGUGUGUGUGCGCGUGUGUGCGUGUGUGUGUGCGCGCGCGCGCGUGUGUACGUGUGUUUAUGUAUCAGCAUAGUAAAGAAAAGGCACUUGGGAAGCUGCAGACUUCCAUCUCAUCUCUCUUUUGCUCCGCAGCUCUCUCCCAGAGAGGAAGACGCAUUAAAUGUCAGAGAAGACGUUAACUCUGGGCGGUCCAAGGAGAUGAGAUAAUGGUCAAGUCGUGGGGCUGUGCGUGGUCUGGACCUUGAGGGAAGCAGACGGCCACAGCCUCCCUGGCGUGACGCCCCCUUCCAGUUAGCAGACUCUAAGUAAACAACUGAUUUCACUAAUCUCAGAGGCCUCCCUCUGGUGUCUGGUAAGCACAGCCUUGCUCUCAGCAUUUGCCUCUUUUCCGUGGCUCCCUUAUGAAAUGUGAUGGGAGCUGCAGAGUUGGAAGGACAAAGGAACUGACUGAGUAAGUGUAAUUUAUUAUCCAGGAUUGUUUUCAACCUUUUCCCAAUUAUACACAUUUUGCUUUUGGCUUCGGUGGACCUGGGUUUAUGAGGCUGUUCUUCUGGCCACUAAUGGGCUGAAAAAAAAAAGGGCCCCCAGUAUUCCCUUAGGGAUGUGUUACUGGCCUUUAGUAAUCUGCCUAUGGCAUUAGCUCUGUUGAAUGCAGUUAAUUAAAUGAGAAAACUAAUAACUGACUCCUGCUUCUCCCCCACUGUCUGCCCUCCCACCCUCCACACACCAAAGCUUUAUAUGGGCUUAUUUCAAUUAGGGACCAGAAAGUUCUCAGCCCAACAGAGAUGGAAGCCCAGACAGGGUUGGGUGCUCUCACUGGAAUUUGUUUAUUUGUUCUCACCCGCUGGAGAAAAAUAAUGGGCUUAGCAAAGAGAGAGGGCGAGUUGUGGGGCAAAAAAACAAUGGCUGGGUGACAGGGACCCUGCUUUAGGGUCCAGGGUUGGAGGCUGAUUUAAAGUGUGACCUUGAACAAAUGAGGUAUCUCAUUGCAUUUCCGGUUCCCCACCUGUAAAUGGGAGAAUAAUGAAGCCCCUCCUUCUUGUCUGUUGGGCUGGUGGUGAAUCAAGAGGCUCAGUUCUUCAUGCCGCCCACUUACCUGUGGGCAUUUUCUAGGAUUCAGAUUGGUUCCCCCUUCUUUCCAGGUCAUCCCUCAGUGAUCUCACCCCUUCUCAUAGUGUCAGGUCUGGCAUUUUUGCAGGUGACCACAAAAUCUAUGAUCGCCAACUUCAACUUCCCUCCCGAGAGCCAAUCCUACAGAGCCAAAUGGUCACUGGAAAUGCUCUAGGUGGAUGGCAUGCAUUAUGAAAUGUACUCUUCUAUCGAAACUCACCCAGGCCACACUUCCAUCUUUAUGCAGGCACCACAUGCAUGGCCUAAGCAGGGUGUGGGCUCUACGUGUCCAGGUCAUACUUCUAACUCUGUGACUUGGGCAAGCCGUUUACAGACACCGAGCUUGAGAUGGAGAUGGAGAAGACUUUUUCUAUAAAUGGAACUCUUGGCAGACUACCUGUUAAAUCACAGACAUUCAAUAAACAAUGUCAUUCGUCCCA
ensembl:lncRNA